UGAUACUGGUGUUGGACAAGAUUAUUAAGAUUUUGUUCAGCAUGACAUGCCAGACAAACUUCUUGAAGGCGGAUUUCUGUUGUAUCGUUGCGGUACUGGGAACGACAUCUAGGUGACGAUGCCAAUAUUCGUUAAGUGGGGCUUGUUCUCACAGGCCAUGAGGGACCUCGCAAGAAACCCGUCAUCCUAGUGCCCAGCUGAG
rnacentral:lncRNA from 1 species